GGAAGAAUUAGCUCCCUCGCUGCCGCCAGCGACCUCUCCCCCCGGCCGGGUAAAUUUUAGCAUAGUAGGCACCUGCAAUGUGGGGAGAGCAGGUGCCUGCUCUGCUUUAACAUGUGAAACUCACGGCUCACCGGGCUGCAAAGAUAUUUAUUGUGGGCUACAUGCGGCCCACAGGCCACGACUUUGACAUGCAUGUUGUAGGUGAUCAGUGUACACAGGUCUUACUGUGAGGUGUUGCAUAUAUAUAUAUGACCCACAACUUUCAUAAUUCCCAGGAAAACUCUGACCGCUGGACGGAGAGUCGAAAAUUAAAGGGAUUUAUUCACUAAACACAAAAUUGUAGGAAAUUUAAAAACAAAUUGCCACAUUUAAGCAACGACGACUAAUUCUGUUGAAUUCUAAAAUUUGGUUUCCAGAUGAAGUUGCAAUCUAGAGCAAGUGGGGUAGUCCCUACUUUGUCUCAGUAUAUCUUUUGAUUGGAUCCAAC